GUUUUAAUAGUUUAACAAAAACAUUGGUCUUGUAAACCAAAAUUAAGGUGGCCCCACUUUUAAGACA
rnacentral:tRNA from 1 species